UGCGUAGGUGGCAUGGUAAGUCGGAUGUGAAAUCUCCGAGCUCAACUCGGAAAUGGCAUUGGAAACUGCCGUGCUCGAGGGUUGGAGGGGGGACUGGAAUGCUUGGUGUAGCAGUGAAAUGCGUAGAUAUCAAGCGGAACACCAGUGGCGAAGGCGAGUCCCUGGACAACUCCUGACACUGAGGCACGAAAGCUAGGGGAGCAAACAGGAUUAGAUACCCUGGUAGUCCUAGCCGUAAACGGUGCACGUUUGCUGUAAAAGGAAUCGACCCCUUUUGUGGCGUAGCCAACGCGUUAAACGUGCCGCCUGGGAAGUACGGUCGCAAGAUUAAA
rnacentral:rRNA from 1 species